CAGCAGCCACGGUAAUACGAAGGGGGCUAGCGUUGUUCGGAUUUACUGGGCGUAAAGGGCGCGUAGGCGGACUGAUAAGUCAGGGGUGAAAUCCCAAGGCUCAACCUUGAAACUGCCUUUGAUACUGUUUGUCUUGAGUUCGAGAGAGGUAAGUGGAACUGCGAGUGUAGAGGUGAAAUUCGUAGAUAUUCGCAAGAACACCAGUGGCGAAGGCGGCUUACUGGCUCGAAACUGACGCUGAGGCGCGAAAGCGUGGGGAGCAAACAGGAUUAGAUACCCCCGUAGUCCCUGUCUCUUAUAC
rnacentral:rRNA from 1 species